rnacentral:lncRNA from 1 species
ACAGGGAUAUAUUAAAAAGUAAAAUUAUAAAAGGAUUAAAAAGAGAAAAGAGAUUGCAUAAUAUGUAGAGCAGGCAUAUCUAAUUAUAUAGAUGUAAGUGAAGUGGACUACUUGAUUUAAUGGGUUGCUAUGACCCAUUUGCUAGCUUCUUAAGUCCUUGGGAUUAAGUAGAUGUUAACAUGAUAUAAAAGCUAACACUACUAGAGAU